rnacentral:pre_miRNA from 2 species
GAUUUCAACUAAAAAAGUCAUCAACAAAAAAGUUGUCAAACUCAUCAAGAUCUAUAAUUUUUAUUUUUGGCAUUUCUUCAUCAGACAAAGUGAUAGUAACAUUGUUCACAAAAUUCACAUAUCUCUCAUCUGGUUUAUAAACUAUAACAGAGAUAUGUAAUUUUUUUUGAACAAUGUUACUAGCACUUUGUCAGAUGAACAAAUGGAAAAAAUAAAAGUUAUAGAUCUUGAUGAGUUAUACAACUUUGUUGUUGAUGAAUUUUUUAAUUGAAAUC